CGAGCACGCGCGUGUGGCAUAUCAAUAAGCGGAGGAAAAGAAACUAACAAGGAUUCCCUUAGUAACGGCGAGUGAAGCGGGAAGAGCUCAAAUUUGAAAUCUUCAAGGUUCUACCUUGACGAAUUGUAGUUUAUAGGAGUGUUUUCUGUUAGUGGAGUGGCAAAAGUUCUUUGGAAUAGGACAUCAUAGAGGGUGAGAAUCCCGUAUUUGGUCAUUCCUCCUAGCGUUGUGAUACACUUUCAACGAGUCGGAUUGUUUGGGAAUGCAGUCCAAAAUGGGUGGUAAAUUUCAUCUAAAGCUAAAUAUUGGCGAGAGACCGAUAGCGAACAAGUACCGUGAGGGAAAGAUGAAAAGAACUUUGAAAAGAGAGUUAAACAGUACGUGAAAUUGUCAAAAGGGAAGCGUUUGACACCAGUGUUGUUUUUCCGAAAAUCAAUUACGAAUGUUUUGUUUUUGAGGAGUUAUGACUUCAUCGGCUUGCUUCUUUCUUUAUGAAACUUUCUUAAUGCACUUUUCGGUUAACAAGUCAACAUCAAUUUCUUUUGUUGUAAAAGGGUAUGAGGAAGGUGGCUUUCUUUUCGGAGAAAGUGUUUAUAGCCUUGUGCCUCUGCAAUCGGAGAGAUUGAGGUCUGCAGCGUAGAUCCUUCGGGGUUAGAUACGUUUGUGCUAAGUUAUAGCUUUUCAUAGACAACUUGUUGACUAUGUUUAGUCUUGUAGCUUACUCGCUGACGCUAUUUUACCUACGCUUAGGAUGUUGAGUAGCGACAUACGCAC
rnacentral:rRNA from 1 species